GAAAAAGAGGGAGCGAGGAAGGAGGAAAGCAGGGCGAUAGACGGGGUAGUCGGUUGGUGAACGCUCGAGAAAGAGGAGUGAAUUUCUGCUGAACGUGAAAAAAAAGAGAAGAGCAUCGAGAAACGUGGUGCAAUCGGCCAAAUCCCAAAAUACUGGUUCCGGACGGUAAAUUUCGCCGUCCGUGACCGAAACCACCUUCUCGACUGGACACAGCGAGACUCGUAAAACCCACCGACCGAGUGAAAGCAACCUUCGAAGAGGCAGUGCUGAUAGCCCUGUGAAAGUGUUGGCCCGAGUUAAUUGUGAGCGCUAGGAACGGUUCUGAGCCCGGCGUGGAUCCUAGGCCGACCGAUCCUUUUUGGAAGGAGUACACCCAUUUCCGCGUACGAACACCAAGAAAACCCGGCCGCUCGUAAAAUCGCCGGAGUAAAUAAACCCCUUUUCGAGCCGACGGCGAAGCUCCGCAUCGGACGGGCACAUCCUGUCACCCCAGUGGGAACUAGCCCCGGCGUGAACCCUACGGAAGUCCCAGUAUCAUCGUGCCAAGCGCAAAGCGACCCGGAGAUCCAGCUCUACCUCGGCCGAAAUCGACCCUCGUCCUUGGGGCGCCACGGAAGCCGAAGUUGCAGCCCUUCCGCGGCCGAAUCCGAACCCCCCCCCCUUGUGAGGCACCAAGCAACCUGGGGAAUCAGGCACUCCCCUGCCGACGCCGGAAUGGGCCAGACCAUCGCUUCCCAUCAUCUCGCCGGCGGAUCCCCGCCAAACAUCCAAGGUAUGAGCUCACAUUUGUAAACGGCCGCAACGAUUCUUACUAACCCGAACUAACUACUAAUUCUAAGAAUGAAAAAAGAAAAUUAAAUGAAAUUAAGUAAAAU